CCAACCUGGGCACAGACUGGACAGUGCAGGGUUCAAACUUGCUUGGAUCCAGCAUGGUAAAGAGCGUGUGAGAAGACUGGACUCUUCUGAGUUUCAGCGGCCCUGGAAGAGGCUCAGUUUAUUUAGCGAUGGUUGGCAGUUAUGGGGUUGGUUUCUAGCAAGCUGACCCAAGAAAAGAAUCUGAUGAUUAUUUUCUAAAAGUUUAUCCUCUGGGAAUUGACACCAUUGCUGCUUUUGCCAUCAGGAUAGAGGUCUCAGCGAUGUUUGGAAUCUGUCCCCUUCCCUUCCAUGGAGUCAGCCUAUGGAUGAUAACAGCACGGUGCCUGAUUCACAAUACCCUGGCACCCAUUGUCCUGCUCUGGGCAUUAUCUUCCAGACUUCUGUAGAAAAUGGGAAUUGUGAUUGCUGAAGUUAAUCUCCUCUAUUGUGUGAAAAAAUAAAUAAAGCUUUUCUGGCAUGUUUAAA